GUACACAGUAUCAUUCCCAGCUUGAUUUCAGUCAAUUUUAUCUAAAGUAUUGAGCCAGCCAGGAGUCGAACCUAGAAUCUUCUGAUCCGUAGUCAGACACGUUAAGACACGUUAAAAAGUAUUUUAAAUUAUGAAUCUACAAAACAUAUCACAUUUCCUGUUGCUGAGGGAAUAUUGUUGUGUUGUGUGAUUCUGCUGCCAUUUAAAAUGCAGUAUCUGUGGUUACACAAGUGCGUCCAAAAUAACAAGAUAUUCUUUCCCAUACCGGGAGUUGAACCCGGGCCACCUGGGUGAAAACCAGGAAUCCUAACCGCUAGACCAUAUGGGAAGACACAUACUUAAAAUACACAUCACAGACAAAUCUAUAAAUGUUGACAUUUUGCCUGUCUGAUUUAAAAGCUCCCAUCUUUUUUCUCAGAGAUGUUGGGGAAUGUCCAGAUGAAAUCCGUCUAAAAUGUGUUUGAAGUGAGAACCUCCAGAAGCACUGAAAGGUAUACAGUAUCAAUCCCUGCUUGAUUUCAAUCAUUAAAAUUAAGUAUCGAGCCAGCCAGGAGUCGAACCUAGAAUCUUCUGAUCCGUAGUCAGACACGUUAUCCAUUGCGCCACUGGCCCCAGGUUUAAGCUGAAGUCAGGUCACAGCUAGACCAGUGUACACAGUCAUAGCGUCUGUCAACAACAAGGUUCCUUGGGAUUUCUGUUACAGAUGCAUAUCUUAAUUUGAUCCUCCUGUUGUUGCAUGAAUUUUACUGCAGAGCAAGAAAUGCAGCCAUGAAGUGUAUUCAACGUUUAAAAAGCCUUGUAUAAUUUGAAUCUACAUAACAUGUCACAUUUCCUGUUGCUGAGGGAAUAUUGUUGUGUUGUGUGAAACUGCUGCCAGUUAAGAAAAUUCUCAGAGAUGAUGGGGAAUGUCCAGAUGAAAUCCGUCUUAAAUGUGCUUGAAGUGAGAACAGCCAGAAGCACUGAAAGGUAUACAGUAUCAUUCCCAG
ensembl:lncRNA